rnacentral:lncRNA from 1 species
CUACCGGCGGCCGACCAAUAGCGAGGCACGCCGGCCUUGCGCUUGCACGUCGGCCGCGGCGCCCGACGCAGGCGCGGCUCCGGGCGGCCUGGAAAACCCGGGAUGGAGCGGGGAGGCCGCGGAGCCGACGCGCGGCACCGCGGCGCGCAGUGCCGCGCGUGGGGCGAGGGCGGGAGCGGGGCUGGGGUCAAGGUCGGCGCGGGCAAGCGGCAGGGGCCCGCACGCGCCUCACCUGGCCCAGCGCUUUGCAGCUGCUGUCACGCGUGCACACUCAGGCUUGGUCGGAGCCUGCCGCGUGCUGGCAGCUGAAAUCCAGGCGUUUCCACGGUUGCAGUGGCUGUGAGACCCCAGCAGUAUGCACCACGUGCAGGGAACCCAAGCCGGAAGGUAUGAAGAGGGUGAGCUUGUCCCAUUGCACUGAUGUGUCUCAAGGAUGUCCCUACUAUGUAGACAUAAAGCUCCUUGAUGAAAAGAUGGACAAUGCCUGGCAAGUGGAAAUGGGGCUGUGUCCAUGCCGGACACAAGUGCGGGAAGAGAGCACGACCACAGGACCCCUGCUUGGUGAGGCAUAUGGAGGACCCACAGUGCACGUACCUUGAGCUGUAUGUCUGACUCACUCCCAGUGAUGGACACUCAGCACGAAGCUGCCUCAGGAAAUCAGGCCACUCCAUCCAUCUGACUGGGCUGCCAGGCGCCACUUUCAUCUCUGUCCUUGACUGGGGGUAGCCUGUCCAUCUCGACAAGAUAGAAACAGCACUUUGAAUUGCAUGGAAAAAAUGUACUCUACAGAGAGGAGACAAAUACUCUUCUUUUGGCCAAGCUUUUAGAGGAAAUAUAAGGUAUGUUCAUUAAAAUAUGUCCCUGCUGAUAAUCAGCACUGGAAAUUCAAAAGGUGUUACCUUGAAUAAAUGUUAUUUUUCACAUUUCUCACUGUCUUCUUUAUAAAAAAUACAAAUACUAUGGAGUAAAUUUCAUAUUACCAUAAACUUUUUGCUACCCAGGAUUCUGAGAUGAAUGAAAUAAUCUAUUUGGGGACUUCCCUGGUGGUCCAGUGGUUAAGACUCUG